GACGAACGCUGGCGGCGUGCUUAACACAUGCAAGUCGAACGAAGAGCGAUGGUACCUUUCUUAUCUCAAUCUUAGUGGCAAGCGGGAGUGUAACGCGGAAUCAACCUGCCCUUCAGAGGGGGACAACAGUUGGAAACGACUUCUAAUACCGCAUACGAUCUAACCACGGCAUCUAGGAUAGAUGAAAGGUGUCCUCUACAUGUAAGCUAUUACUGCAUUAUGUUAGUGCGUCGGAUUAGCUAGUUGGAGGGGUAACGGCCCACCAAGGCGAUGAUAAGUAGCCGGCCUGAGAGGAUGAACGGCCACAUUGGGACUGAGACACGGCCCAGACUCCUACGGGAGGCAGCAGUAGGGAAUCUUCGGCAAUGGACGAAAGUCUGACGGAGCAACGCCGCGUGAGUGAUGAAGGUCUUCGGGUUGUAAAGCUCUGUUAAUCGGGAAGAAAGGCCUUUUUGCGAAUAGGGAGAAGGAUUGACGGUACCGGAACAGAAAGCCACGGCUAACUACGUG
rnacentral:rRNA from 1 species